rnacentral:RNase_P_RNA from 1 species
GGAGGAUACCAGGCGGUCGCUGCCGGGUUGUCCCGGCGGAGGAAAGUCCGGACACCGCAGGGCAGGGAGGUCGCUAACGGCGACCGGGGGCGACCCCAGGGACAGGGCAACAGAAAGCAGACCGCCUCCGGCCAUCGCGGCCGGCGGUAAGGGUGAAACGGUGGGGUAAGAGCCCACCAGCCUGCCGGGCGACCGGCAGGGCUCGGCAACCCCCUCCCGGUGCAAGGCCAAAUAGGUUCCGCUUCAAGGGCGGCCCGUCCUUGCUCCUCCGCCCGCGGGCGGGGGACGGCGGAACGGGUAGGCUGCACGAGGCCGGCGGCAACGCCGGUCCCAGAUGAAUGGCCGCCGUCCCGGUGUGGACCGGGAUUACAGAAUCCGGCUUACGGUAGCCUCCGGUC